rnacentral:rRNA from 1 species
GACGAACGCUGGCGGCGUGCUUAACACAUGCAAGUCGAACGGAAAGGCCCUGCUUGCAGGGUACUCGAGUGGCGAACGGGUGAGUAACACGUGGGCGAUCUGCCCUGCACUUCGGGAUAAGCCUGGGAAACUGGGUCUAAUACCGGAUAGGAGCCAUUUUUAUUGUGAUGGUUGGAAAGUUUUUUCGGUGUAGGAUGAGCUCGCGGCCUAUCAGCUUGUUGGUGGGGUAAUGGCCUACCAAGGCGGCGACGGGUAGCCGGCCUGGGAGGGUGGACGGCCACAAUGGGGAUGGGAAAAGGCCCAAGACCCUAAGGGGGGCAACAGGGGGGAAUAAUGCAAAAAGGGGGGAAGCCUGAUGGAGGGACGGCGGGGGGGGGAUGAAGGGCUUCGGGUUGUAAAAUCCUUUCGCUAGGGACGAAGCUUUGUGUGACGGUACCUAGAUAAGAAGCACUGGCUAACUACGUG